CAGCCGCCGCGGGAAAACGAAGGGUGCAAGCGUUACUCGGAAUUACUGGGCGUAAAGCGUGCGUAGGUGGUGGUUUAAGUCCGUUGUGAAAGCCCUGGGCUCAACCUGGGAAUUGCAGUGGAUACUGGGUCACUAGAGUGUGGUAGAGGAUAGUGGAAUUUCCGGUGUAGCAGUGAAAUGCGUAGAGAUCGGAAGGAACAUCUGUGGCGAAGGCGACUAUCUGGGCCAACACUGACACUGAGGCACGAAAGCGUGGGGAGCAAACAGGAUUAGAUACCCGUGUAGUCCCUGUCUCUUAUAA
rnacentral:rRNA from 1 species